rnacentral:tRNA from 1 species
GGAGCCGUAGCAUAAUCGGUUAAUGCACCUGAUUGUCGAUCAGGCGAUUUGCGAGUUCGAGUCUCGUCGGCUUCG